UUCAUCAUAAAAAAUACUGAAUAUCGGGAGGUACCGUUAUAUAUAGACUAUACGAUAUCGUGAACAGAUAUAGCCCAUCAUAUCUUGAUUCGCUUCUACACUAGCGUGAUUACAACAGACGGACGGACAAACAGGGCUAAAUCGUCUUAGAAUUUGACGCUGAUCAAGAUUAUAUACACAUUGUAGAAGAUUAUAUAUAGAUUGUUGGGUUUAUAAUCAUUAUUCCGAUGAGUUACGAAAGGAACGACAAACUUAAUAUACCCUCCAUACUAUGUAUAUGGAGGAUAUGAAAAAAAAAAAACAUCAGAGAGGUCCUACGAAACUCAAGGUAAUAAAAGCUGUAACUGCGAGUUAUAUUAAGAAAUAUUUAAAAUCCAUUGAUAAGAUUCGACAUAUGCCAAUUUAUUAUUUUCCCUUUUUUCUCAACAGUGGGUACCAACUCAAAAAAAAAAAAACUAAAUAUUCUCAGUAUGACAAGUUACAUUUCAUACAAAUACAAGAAAUUGUAUUUCUUCAACAUUGCUGAAACAUAAAUGUCUCACAAUAGACGCAUAUUUCCAAUAAGGAAGAAAACUAUGAAAAAUUAAUAAAUACAACACGGCCAUGUCGUCUGUUGCCGAUAGGAAUAUGGAAAGUGCAAACAACAACACACUUCACAGCAACCACACCGAAAUUGUUUCUGUAAUAAGUGCUGCAAAAUCACAAAAAUAUCAAAUGUAAUGACAAAAUUUUUGUGCAUAGAUGUGUAUGUUUAACAUAAUGAAAACAGAAUGGCGGUAAAUAAAAAAAAUGAUGCCAACUUGACUACAAAAAUUUGGAGGUAAGGUAGGUGGCAGAAAGAAAAGGAAAGAAAAUAAAACAACACGACAAAGAAAACAGAAAUGAAACACAUACAUACGCAUUUUAAGGAACAAAAACGAAGAGGUGGAAUCCACGAAAUGCAAAAUUGACAAAACUAAAAAAUAUGUACCGUUUGAUAACAGUACUUCGCAGUUUUGUUGUUGUGAUUGAAAAGGGGACGUAGGAUAAUUAAAACUUACCACUUGACAAGGCAAUUGUGCACUCCUGAGGAUCCACGGUGUAUAAACGACCCUCAUAUCGAAUAUCGGCCUUAGAUAUUAGGCUGAUUUUUGAGCCCAGCUCCGGCAUGCCGCCACUCAUUUUGUCGUAGUGGCGAUAUACAGCUCAAAUGGAAGAAAUACAAAAGCAGCGCAGUCUUUGCACAAUGACUAUGAUUUUCUUUUAAAAUCCGGAUUUUCGACAGCAGUUCUGUAACACCUCUAGGGUCGUUAUAAAGCUGUCAAAAGUCUUCAAGACCUUUUCAGCACUUAAUGAAUAGCAAACACUUAAAUUUCUCCCCUUUUUUACAACUUUUGCUCUCUUGUUCACGGCUAAUCAGACUGCCUUUCGCGAAUAAGACGCAACGCACACUUUUGUCGGAACUUUUACAGGAAAGUCAGUGAAACCGCUCUCGAUGUUUAAGCGAUUUUAAGCACUAUUUAAUUUCGCGUUGGACGUUUUUCCCAAACGGAAAAUAAGUAUUUUUCCACAAAUUUCACUGCUCUCGACAAUAAAUUUUCAAUAGGCCUCAAUAACUUACUGCCAAA